GAUGAAGAACGCAGUGAAAUGCGAUAAGUAAUGUGAAUUGCAGAAUUCAGUGAAUCAUCGAAUCUUUGAACGCACCUUGCACCCUUUGGCAUUCUGAAGGGUAUGCUCGUUUGAGUGUCAUUGUACUCUCACACUCCCGAUCUUUGCAUUGGGAGCAGUGGACUUGGGUUUGCUGCUUCACCGUCGCUUACCUCAAAUAGGUUAGUGCAACUCUUGGUUGGACAUAGUACGGCGUGAUAAGUGUUCUUCGCCGGUGCCUCGCAAAGAGGGUGGCCGAUCGGGAUGUUGUGCUCCAAACCGUCUUCGGACAAUCUCUGACGACUUGACCUCAAAUCGAGUAAGACUACCCGCUGAACUUAAGCAUAUCAAUAAGCGGAGGA
rnacentral:misc_RNA from 1 species